rnacentral:misc_RNA from 1 species
CCUUACUGACGCUAUUCUUGCGAGUGUUCACACAGAUUGCACGGUCAAAUUAAAAAAGCGCUAACUAAUGGCAAGCCAUUGGUUAACGCUUUUAGGCGUUACUCUGAAAAGAGAUGCUCUUUAACAAUCUGGAAAGCUGACAAGUCAUUCUUUAAGAAUGACAGUAAAGUUCUCAAUCAGUGACAUAUCAUGUCACUCACACAAUCAAGUGUGCUUGGACUUUGUCUUAUUAAAUCAAUAACGACAAAGCUUCUAUUUGAGUCCGGCAAAAACAAAACCUUAGUUGUUUAAACCGUUUGUUUUCACUUUUUAAAAGUGAAAGUAAAUAAGCAAGACCUUUUGGGGUUGUAU